rnacentral:rRNA from 1 species
UACGUAGGCAGCAAGCGUUGUUCGGAAUUAUUGGGCGUAAAGAGCUCGUAGGCGGUGUGUCACGUCGGCCGUGAAAACCUGCAGCUUAACUGUGGGCGUGCGGUCGAUACGGGCAUCACUGGAGUUCGGCAGGGGAGACUGGAAUUCCUGGUGUAGCGGUGAAAUGCGCAGAUAUCAGGAGGAACACCGGUGGCGAAGGCGGCUUUCUGGACGAUUACUGACGCUGAGACGCGAAAGCGUGGGGAGCAAACAGG